rnacentral:hammerhead_ribozyme from 1 species
GUACUACUGAAGAGUCCCAAACUAGGACGAAACGGCUGUCCAGUAU